rnacentral:piRNA from 1 species
UGUGGGUCCAGGCCAGUUGGCAAUCCUACUC